AUGAUCAAGAGAAGCCUGUUGAUGACUCCAAAGCUCUCGCAGUAGUUGAUCGUAAGCUCUCUCUCUCUCUCUCUGCGAACAUAAGUAUAUAAUUUUAAUUGCUGCUAUUUUAGACUAUUUAUUCUUUAAAUUAAUAUUGAAUGCUUUUACAGGACCUGAGAAAACAAACAGCUUGUAUCAAACGAGCUUAAUACAAUUAACUGACUUAUGGAGAUUUAAAUUUUCAUUGUUUUUAUACAUAAAAAUAAAUAGAAAAUAUUAAGCUCAUAGUUUUGAUCAUUUGCGCCUACUCUGUUUUUUGAAAAUUUAAAGAGAUUAAAUGAUGGAGUUUUAGUGUUCAAUUCAGGAUUAUUUUUCUCAAUUUUGAUCCAUUUAUGUUUAGUUUUGUGUUUUCUGAAUUUGAUUUCUUUCUUUUUCCUUUAAUUUUAUAUAAAUGAAUAUUUUUGUAGAUUUAAUUUUAUAUAAAAAAGAAGAUUUUAAUAAUAAUAAUAAUAGAAAAAGACACAUGAAUAUAUUUGUAGCCAAUGAAAUUUCUUAAGUACCCUUUGUCUCAUAAUAAUCAUUAAGGUUUUUGGGUCUAAUUUUUAUUAUUGAGAAUCCCUUUUUGAGAGACAGCUUCUCUCCGGUUUGUGUGAAAAAAUCAUUUCUUUUUCUCUGUUGAUCAUUUUUGCAAUUUAAUAUCAAAGCGUUAAUUUAAUAAUAAUAGAAAAACACACAUGAAUAUAUUUGUAGCCAUUGAAAUUUCUUAAGUACCCUUUGUCUCAUAAUAAUCAUUAAGGUUUUUGGGUCUAAUUUUUAUUAUUGAGAACCCCUUUUUGAGAAACAGCUUCUCUCCGGUUUGUGUGAAAAAAUCAUUUCUUUUUCUCUGUUGAUCAUUUUUGCAAUUUAAUAUCAAAGCGUUACUUUUGCACAUAGAAUACUUUUAUUAUAUAUAUAUAUAUAUAUAUAGCGGAUUAGGCAUAAAUCAAGAUGCUUGUCCACUUUGUUCCAUGAUUGAUGACACUUUAACCAACAACUUAUGAAAAGCUUACCGUAUUCUAUGCAUGCUUUAAUUAGAUGAUGGAAGAAAUUAACCCUAUGCUUUACACCAUAGGAUUCCAAAAGGAGAGAAAAUGAUGGGUUUAAUCUAAAAUUAAUGUUGACGGUAGGGUUGAUAACAGCUAAGAUUCCUUUCUAAUUGCUGACGAUUGGACUUCCACUUUACUAGAUUUUCCAUAAUGCAAAUUUGAUAAUUAUUGUAAUUAGUAAAUUUAGCAUGCAUACAAAUCUCAUCAUAUUACUAACUGUCUACUAUACAAAAUACUUGCAAUGUACAGCAAAAAGAUUUCCCUUUCCCUACGUUAGCCUACUUUGACUUGGCUAAUGGCUAUUGCUUUAUUGUAGAAGUUAUUGUGUAUUGUAAAUAUUCAUGUAAAUCAUGUAUUGGUAUCCCUUGCUUUAAGGGAUCAAAGCACAAGCCAUAUCCUCAAUAGGUUGGAAGGAGAUCCUAUGGUUUCUGGGAAAAUCAUUUUCUUGCAACAUAUCAUAUGUAGGAAGAAACGGGAGUUUACAAUUUCUCUUGACUGUUCUUUCAUAAUAUUGAAGCCACUUAUAUUUCUUUCCUCCAAAGAAUGGAAUCUGGUGCACAACCAGGUGAAGUUGUUUUACCAGACCUGCCUCGCAUGAGCUUGCAAUUAGAGGGGUAUUAUCCUGUUCAGUCAUCAAUAAGAGGGGCUUAUCAUGUAAACUACCUUGAAUGAUGCUAGCUUGCAUGCUUUAAGCAUGUUAUUUAAAGACUAAGGCCACCCAUUAUACCAUAAGAUCUGAUAAAAACAUACAAUAAUAGUUACUGAAAGGAAAAACUCAUUCUAAAUUCGAAAAUGGACAUCCACUUUCAUGCAUUUUCCUUUGCUAGGUCAAAAAAUAAUGUAAAUCUAGUUCUUUCAUAAUAUGGUUAGUGUUGCAUAUGUAUUUUCUCAUCGGAGUACUAGAUUUAUGUAUUUCCAUAUAUUGCCUUUGACAGAAAC
rnacentral:lncRNA from 1 species